AUUUUUUACUUUAAUUUAUUUUUUCUUUGUUUAAUGGAAAACAAUGCCUGUUACCUGUUUGAUAAAAUGGGUCCCUGAAAAAUUGAUAUUAAAAAUGAAUUGAAUUUACAUGUGUGCUAGCAUUGGUAGAUAGAGUCACGUGAUAACGGUUGCUGAAUUUAGUAGAGGUGUACAAAAGCUGGCCGGGGAACCACAGUUAUCAAAAAAAGAAGAAGAAAGAAUUGUUUUACAUAGUAUUUCUAUUUUGCUUCUGUUUUCGAGUGUCUAUUAGAUAGUUAAGUUAAAUCACGUAAAAUAUUUCAUUUUCUUUAAUCUGGGUUUGGCUCUUUUUUUUUUUGGGGGGGGGGGGGGGGGGUUGGUGUCUAUUUUGAUACAAGGGUUCUUGAAAAAUUUAUUAUGUAUAUUGAUUUUGCAGGAUAUUGCUCAUAUGAAAUCGAAUUUACAUUGCUUCUCUAUUCUUUUCUUGAUUGGUAAAAGUAUUUAUGUUCUUUUAUAUGUUUCAGUUCAUGUCGGUUGAAACUCUGUUAAAGCUCCAAUUUUGGUUUCUCAAAAGUGUAUGCUGCUUAUGGGUUCCAAGGAAGAGCCCCUAAGAGUGCAUUGUACGCAGCCUUAUAUUGCAUUUCUACCAGAGGCUGAGGCUGUUUCCAAGGCUUGAACAUGUGACCUUUUGGUCACAUGGCAACAACUUUAUCAGUUACUCCAAGGCUCCCCUUCAAAUUAAGCACAUGAAUAUAUGAUAAAAUGUUCCUAUCCAGUUCACAUUUUUGAAAAUUUUUUGCGUGUGUUCUUUAACGGCUGUUAGUAGUUAAGUUAAUCAUAUAAAAUAUGUCAUUUUCUU